rnacentral:rRNA from 1 species
GACGAACGCUGGCGGCGUGCUUAACACAUGCAAGUCGAACGAUGAAGCCGGAGCUUGCUCUUAUGAAGUUAGCGGCGGACGAGUGAGUAACACGUGGGUAACCUGCCCAUAAGACUGGGAUAACUCCGGGAAACCGGGGCUAAUACCGGAUAACAUUUUGAACCGCAUGGUUCGAAAUUGAAAGGCGGCUUCGGCUGUCACUUAUGGAUGGACCCGCGUCGCAUUAGCUAGUUGGUGAGGUAACGGCUCACCAAGGCAACGAUGCGUAGCCGACCUGAGAGGAUGAUCGGACACACUGGGACUUAGGCACGCCCCAGACUCCUACGGGAGGCAGCAGUAAGGAAUCUUCCGCAAUGGGCGAAAUUCUGACUGAGCAACGCCGCGUGAGUGAUGAAGGCUUUCGGGUCGUAAAACUCUGUUGUUAGGGAAGAACAAGUGCUAGUUGAAUAAGCUGGCACCUUGACGGUACCUAACCAGAAAGCCACGGCUAACUACGUGCCAGCCGCCGCAGUAA